GCCAACCUAAUUGAAUCCAAUUCAAUUAGAUCCGAUCCAAUUCUCAUUGCUCAAUCAAAUUGAGCCAAUUAAUAAUCAUAUUGUUAAUUAAUUAUUCUUCUAAUUUACCAAUUAUUAGUAAAUAAUUUAUUAUAACUUUUGCAUAGGAUUAAUCAUCAAUCAAAUUGAUAAUUAAACCCUUCAAUGAUUUAUAAUCAUCGAUCAGCCAUUUGAUCAAAUAGAUACUUCUAUGUGUGUGACCCC
rnacentral:lncRNA from 1 species